UACGAAGGGGGGCUAGCGUUGCUCGGAAUCACUGGGCGUAAAGGGCGCGUAGGCGGCCAUUCAAGUCGGGGGUGAAAGCCUGUGGCUCAACCACAGAAUUGCCUUCGAUACUGUUUGGCUUGAGUUUGGUAGAGGUUGGUGGAACUGCGAGUGUAGAGGUGAAAUUCGUAGAUAUUCGCAAGAACACCAGUGGCGAAGGCGGCUAUCUGGACGGUUUCUGACGCUAAGACGCGAAAGCGUGGGGAGCAAACAGG
rnacentral:rRNA from 1 species